AGAGAGAGAGAGAGAGNGAGAGAGAGAGAGAGGAGUCCUGGAUCACCAUCGCUGGUUAUUUCCCUCUUUUUUAAGACGGGAAACACAAGAUAAAGCGUAGAACUUGCCAGGCGAAGCAUGAAAGAAAAAAAAGGGUCAAAAAAUGCGAGCGUUCGCCCGUAAUUCAAGCAAUUUUGGGGGAGCAAAAAGCCCACAAAAAUCGCAUUUUUAAUUAAUUUAAUGACGAAGAAUAAGACGCAGAAUUCACCUCCGCCGCGUCCCCCGCUCCUCGGCAGCGGGAUUCAGAGGCGGCGAGAGCUGAAGCAGCAUGAAUGUUCUCGUUGCUUCACGCUGUAAUCGGCUGCUGCACGAAUCAAGAACAAGUUCUUGGGCGGGUUACGAUCUGAUGCGUCGCAUGUUCUUGACGGUUCCGAAUCAGAGAUUUGGACCAGAUUCCAUGCAUCAAUCAUUUCGGAUGGGGAGAUUGGACCGGAUAGAACACCUUCUAUUUAAAAACAGAUCUCUCAGAAGAAAUUAACUGCUGGUAGCAGAAUCGAUCUCUCCAAUAUUAGAAAACCCACCCGGUUCUUUCAUGGGGAAUGGAUUAAAACCAGAAUUCGAAGAACCAAUCAGUUAGGAUCAUCGUCAAUGGAAUUCAAAGUAUUAUCGCUCCAAAAUUAGAGAAAAACGGAUCCUUUAAUGGGGGAUGAUCAUGGAGGAGGAGUACCUCCGGAAGCUGAUCCCGAUCGCCGCCAAGCUGGUCCUGGUCGAAGGCCAUCGCCGCCGUCGCGCCGCCGGACUGAGCCUCCGCCAUUCCCACAGAACCCACAAAACCCAUCGUCCUCUAUCUUCCUCCUCCCAGAUCAUUCGCCGGGAAAGGAACCAACGGAGACAUCGCCGGGGACCCCCUCGAGCGGCGGCGAGGCCAGAAUCUCCACCGGGGGCGGCCGCCGCUCCGUCGCCGGCGAGAGGACGAGGUCGGUGCAACCAGCGCCGGUGGUUCGCCGGAUUUUGUGAAGCCCGGUUUCUUC
rnacentral:lncRNA from 1 species